UUUUAAUUUCACUCUUCAUUACUUACCACAAAAUUUAAAAAAUACCAAUAUACAGACAAGAGCAAGUAAACUGGAAAAGAGCUAAAAGUUGUAUAAAAAAAAAAACAAAACAAAUCUAAGCACAGGGAUGUAGGAGCAGUGACACACAUACCAUAUACUCUCAAAUGAAUUCAUAAAGCAUGUUCCAGGUUAGACAAGUCUUCUUUCUACAGUCCCCUUUUACGGGCGACACCUCUGGAAAGCAUCUUAAACCAAAGUUCUUUUAUUAUGUGGGGAAACAUCUUCCCAGACUUCUCUUAAAAAGCAUUUUUCAUAAAACAACUAACACCAGAGAGGCAGACCUAAUCUAAAUGCAAGUCAUAAAUGCCCCCCUCAGGCCCCAUAGAACUUGGAAAUAUUAAUGAAAACAAAGCACCAUAGAAAUGGAAAAGUGACACCUAGUGGCCACUUGGCAGUUUUCCCUUACGGCUUCUGAUAACUAGAUCUUUUCCGGCUCUUCCCAUAACUGUGUUUGGCAAAUCUGAAUUUCCAAUUCCAGAGCCAAACAAUGACCUAUCUGAAUAGUAGAUGCCUUUUUAGAGCAGGAUCUGAAAUGACCCUAAACAUGGUCUAAUAACUAGAUAGUGAUAAUUUCAUUUACUGUGCCCAGAUGCUAUAAAAUUCUAGAAAUUCCUCAAAGAAUAGGACUAAUAAAUACAGCCUUUUCCCAUUGUGACACUGCAAUGAAGUACUUUAAUCCUACUUAUCUACCAGAAGCCUCUAUUUUCUAUUUUCCUAUCUGUCUUUCAAUUUCUCAAUGGGUUUCCAAAUUUUGUGACUGCGAUAGGGUGUCAACAUUAUAGCCCAAGUUUUAUUUGAUUUCAGGCUAUCAUCAUGUAAUGAAAUAUCUGAUAACAUUUUCAGGUUUACUGGUUUCAAAAAAGUUUUGAAUUUUGAUAGAAGUUCACAGUUAUUUGAUUAUACUAAAGGAUCAAUAAACAACAGUUCCGUAACCCACGGCAUUUAGAGGUAAAUACCAUAGUUAUUAUUGUAUAACUUUUGGCCUACUUCAAUAAUAUCCA
rnacentral:lncRNA from 1 species